ensembl:lncRNA
CCCACACCCCCUGCAGUGGAAAGGCGGAAUCUUAGCCACUGGACCACCAGGGAAGUCCCUGAUUUGAACGUUUGAUCCAUCUGGAUUUUAUUUUGGUGUUAAGCGUGAGCCAACUUCUACUUUUCCAAAUGGCCGGCCAGUCGUCCUAACGUCGUUUGAUUGAAAAAAGACUGAAAAACCUUUUCCGGGGUUUGAAGAGACCACUCCACCAGCACGCUUCAAGCUAGCGCGUUUGCCGGGGCCCGCGCGGUCCAAGGACCCCUCGCCGCCAGGUUUCCGCGGCCCAUCUGCCCGGCCAGAUCCAGUCGGAGGAGGCGAAGGGAAGGUGGUGGAGUGGAUAUUCCGCUGCUGAGAACUAUUCCACUCCUACCAGCCGCCGACCGACCACUAACCCCCUUUUCCCACCCUUGCGCUCAGGACAAACCCCAGACACCACUACCGCGACUUCACCUCCACCCUCCGAGGACAAAGCCCCCUGACCCACGUCGAGGAAGUCUCUCUUACCUCCCAUCUCCUCCCUCUCAGCUC